AGGCAGCCCACUUGCGAAUUAAAAAACAAUGGUAAGGAGGGUGUUGUUCUACUCGGAAAUUAAUAUCUUUGGCUCUUCAGAUUUGCUGAGAAAUUCAUAUUUCUCUGAAGCUGGUCUAGUAAGCUUAAGUACAAU